GGCCUCAUGGUCUAGUGGUGUUCGUACUCCUGAGACCUUCACAUUUGAAUAAAACUCUAACAUACAAUAGAUGAUUCCUGCUUUGGGUUCACUCUCAAACUUGCAGGAGGCCCCGCGUUCGAAUCGCGGUGGGGCCC
rnacentral:tRNA from 1 species